ensembl:lncRNA
GGCUGCUGUGCACUCACUUUUCUCCUGAGGCAGGCCAGCUGGGUCUAGUCCUCGCUGGGCAACUCUUGGAGGCCUCUGUUGCCUCAUCUGUAUAAUCGGAGUGGUAACAUACCUGCUGCCACAGGCCUGAGCCUGGUGCCAUUGUGCAGAGGCCUGUGGAGAUGCCAUGUCACGUCAGGCUGGUGGGCAGCAGCUCAGUGCAGGCUCCAACCGCGUCUCUUCCCAAGGCCUGGUCCUGGAAGGUCCUGGAAAACAUAGGAUGAUGCUCCCUUCAGGGCCACAGGGUCAGGGAUGUCCUGGGAGGAACAUCAAAGCCGAGGCCUGCUGGAUGAGCCCGUGGCAAGCUGGACCCUUGGCAUUCAGGAGGGCAUGUGGACAGACACAAGCUUUGGAACCAGGCAGACCAGUGAUCAAGUCAUACACACUAGUGAAUGACCUUUAGAAAGCCAUAUGAGGUCUCUGAGUCUCAGUUUUCUUAAGAGCAAAAUGGUUGUCAGAUGGUUGUGGAUAACUCUAAAAGUAGCUGGCAAGUGCCAGGCCACCAUCUGACCGCCAGGAGAUCAACAAGAUGUCUUCCAUUUACCUGUACAUAGUGAGAAGGUUGAGCCUCAAGGCCUUGGCACGUGCUGUGUCCUUGUCUGGAUCACUCUUAUUUCCUGAUGCCCCAUGGUCAGCUCCUAGACACCCUUCAGAUGCUUGCUUAGCUAUUACCUUCUCAGUGAGGACCCCCUUCUUCCACCCCCUCCCCAGUCCUGAGCACAAUGCCAUUGGUGUAGAUUUGUGGACUUCAUGAGGGCUGGGGUUUGUUUUGUUCCCUGGGUCUCCUCCAUGCCUGGGACAGUGCCUGGGACAUUGCAAGGGGAGAAGGGACCCUGCUGAGAUGAACUUUGCUGUGCAAGGGCACGAGCACUCUACUUGUUAAUGCCCAGAGCUACAGGAAUAAGGGCCUAGUGUCUUCGUGGCAGGGGCUCUGCUAAUCUUUCUGAGCCUUAGUAAAGUGGGCCCAGAAGACUCUGGGCUUGGUAUCAGAUGAAGAUGAAGCUGGUUUGACUCUGUGUGUGUGUUUUGGGGGAGAGGUGUGGUGUGGUCCAGGCCUCAAAUGAAUAAGGCUCUGUCCCUGCCUAUGAGGAGCUCCUGGUCUGAGGGGGAAACACAAAGCCUAACUGAGGUGAACCAUCCAGGAUGACACCAGGCUCAGGCCCUGGUAUGACUUCCCAGGGAAGGGAUGCCCUGGGGACUUCGGAUGGCUGCUUGGUGGCAGCUCCUGGGGCGGGCUCCUCCCUGACCUUCUCUGUUUGUGUCUGUGAGACCCAGGCUCCUUACUGAUGUUACCCCGGGAGGCCUGAGAGCUGAGAGCUGUUCUCCCCUGGAUAUUACAGGGCACACAGUUAAAAGAGAGCUCUAUAAAACUUCUAGGGAGGUGCGGUGCAAAGGGGCAAAGUAAGGACACUUGCCCCCACCCAUCUCUGCACAAAGAGCCCUUGCCGCAAUGAUGAGCAAUGUGGUUAAGAAUACAAGUUUCCCAGGAGAGGGGAACAUGCUGGGUCUGAAUCCUGUCCCUGAUGACAUGCUCUGUGACUGUGAACUAAUGACUGAGCUCACUGAGCCCCAGUUUCCUCAUCUGUGAAAUGGGCAUAGUUAACACCAGCUGCCUCAAGGGGCUCUCGGGUUCAGGAGAGCACGCUUUGCACGCACUGUACUCACUAAAUACUACUGGCUCUUGUUAUUAUCAUAGGGAUUAAAUUCAUAGCACAGUAUAAACGACAGGUAGUGGAGCUCUUCUGUCCUUUUGGAAGGGGGAGACCUUGAGAGGAGACCACAGCCAAGAAAGGAGGGCAGUGGCUCAGGACACAUCCCGCCAUCUUCCCAGGUGCCCAUGGUAUUGCAGUUGUUGGGGAGAGGAAGCCCUCAGGGUUGACUUGUAUGUCUGUUGUCUGUCUGUGCCUGGCCCACAGGGACUGAACCGAGCUAGCUCGGGAAAGGCCGUCGACAGUAGGCAGAGGUGGGGAGUGUGGGCAAUACUGGAUUCACUAAGUACUCACUGUGCAUCUGGCUCAAAGCUGGGGCUUCCAGUCCCUCCCUUCAGGGAACCAGGCCUUUGGUAUCAGACUUCCCUCAGGCUUCCCUCAGGCAUCCCCCAGCUCCAAAUUGGGCAGUGACCUGUUUCUAUUUCUGGGCUCAGAGAGUUGUAGCCAAGAUUCACUUCCAAGCUGGACAGGAAGAGAGCAUGAAGGAGAGACUGCUGGUCCCUGUCCCCAGGGCCUCUGCUAUGGAGGGCCACUCAGGGUGGACACAGCUCCUGGAAGGGGUGACCCAGACUGGGAUGGCCUAGAGGGUGAGGAUGACGGGCUGCAUGAGGGAGGGUUGGGAGAUGUGGUUGGAAUUGUAGCUUCAGUGCUUCUGCAUCGUGGCCCAGUUCAUGUGGCUGCUCCCGCUCCUGUGGAACAGUGAACUGGAGAGCCGACAACAUGUAGAGAACUUUGCUGACUCGGUUCUGAGACCUGGAGCCCCUCUGUGCACCACAGGGGUGGGCGACCCCAUUCCCUCAGGGGUCACUGGUGAAGGAGGCCAGUGCCUCAUUCCUGUCCUUGAAUCAUUCCAACAAUCCUGGGUCACCCUCCUGCCCCCAACCACCCCCACCUUAUGUGAGAGGCAACUGGAAAGUUAGGGAAGUUGCUUGUGAGUGGUAGAGGAGGGUCAAACCCACAGGACUUCUGCACUCAGAGAUGCCACCACAGCUCUGGGCUCCAGCAGUGGCUGUUGCUUUCAGGAAGAUUGUAUUGGGAUCUCUGUCCCACCUCUGCUUCCAACUUAGCCUCCUACCCAAACUUCCCAGUUCCCCUGCCUUGUCUAAAGGAAGGCGUGCUGUAGAGAGCCAGACGUGGGCUCUGGGGAGCCAUUUCUAAUGGGAAAACAUGCCCAUUUGCCUAAAUGAAUCAAAUCCAUUUCUCUCCCAUACAUAUUUCAUGGGCUUCCUCUCUGUGUAAUUUAAUUAUCACUGUUGUUAGUGUUAAUGUCCUGGCUGGUGUAGCUCUGCUCUCCAGACCCUUGGAGCCUAAUGCUGCAGCAGGGCUCCAAGGAGGAGCCAGGAGAAUGGAACCAUCUCUAUGGCAACAGGAUGCGAUAAUAUUUCCUGGUGAUCUAUUGCUUUAAUCUUAAGGGCUCUGAGUAUAUUGCCAGCAUUAAUAAAUAAGUCUAAAUAACACCCUGGUGAGAUUGA